rnacentral:rRNA from 1 species
UUUUUAACAAUGGAUCUCUUGGCUCUCGCAUCGAUGAAGAACGCAGCGAAAUGCGAUAAGUAAUGUGAAUUGCAGAUUUCAGUGAAUCAUCGAAUCUUUGAACGCACCUUGCGCUCCUUGGUAUUCCGAGGAGCAUGCCUGUUUGAGUGUCA